rnacentral:rRNA from 1 species
GACGAACGCUGGCGGCGUGCUUAACACAUGCAAGUCGAACGAAGAGCGAUGGAAGCUUGCUUCUAUCAAUCUUAGUGGCGAACGGGUGAGUAACGCGUAAUCAACCUGCCCUUCAGAGGGGGACAACAGUUGGAAACGACUGCUAAUACCGCAUACGAUCUAACCUCGGCAUCGAGGAAAGAUGAAAGGUGGCCUCUAUGUAUAAGCUAUCACUGAAGGAGGGGAUUGCGUCUGAUUAGCUAGUUGGAGGGGUAACGGCCCACCAAGGCGAUGAUCAGUAGCCGGUCUGAGAGGAUGAACGGCCACAUUGGGACUGAGACACGGCCCAGACUCCUACGGGAGGCAGCAGUGGGGAAUCUUCCGCAAUGGACGAAAGUCUGACGGAGCAACGCCGCGUGAGUGAUGACGGCCUUCGGGUCGUAAAGCUCUGUUAAUCGGGACGAAAGGCCUUCUUGCGAAUAGUGAGAAGGAUUGACGGUACCGGAAGAGAAAGCCACGGCUAACUACGUG